GACGAACGCUGGCGGCGUGCUUAAUACAUGCAAGUCGAACGGACAGGCGCUGAUCUUGCGGGGUGCUCGAGAGGCGCACAGGUGUGUAAAACGCGAGUAAACCGCACCUGUAUUUCGGAUAACAUCACGAAACUGGGGCUCAUACCGGAUAGGAGCUCCUGCUGCACGGUGGGGGAUGGAAAGUUUCGGCGGUUGGGGAUGGUCUAGAGGCUUAUCAGCUUGUUGGUCGGGUAGUGGAUUACCAAGGCUUUGACGGGUAGCCGGCCUGAGAGGGUGACCGGCGACAUGAGGACUGAGAGACGGACCAGACUCCUACGGGAGGCAGCGGGGGAGAAUAUGGCAGAAUGGGCGGAAGCCAGAGGCAGCGACGCCGCGAGCGUGAUAACGGCCUUCGGGGUGUAAACCUCUGUCGCCUUUGACGAAGAGUGAGUGACGGUAAUGAGUAAAAAAGCACCGGCUAACUACGUG
rnacentral:rRNA from 1 species